UACGUAGGUCCCGAGCGUUGUCCGGAUUUAUUGGGCGUAAAGCGAGCGCAGGUGGCUUAUUAAGUCUGGUGUAAAAGGCAGUGGCUCAACCAUUGUAUGCAUUGGAAACUGGUAGACUUGAGUGCAGGAGAGGAGAGUGGAAUUCCAUGUGUAGCGGUGAAAUGCGUAGAUAUAUGGAGGAACACCGGUGGCGAAGGCGGCUCUCUGGCCUGUAACUGACACUGAGGCUCGAAAGCGUGGGGAGCAAACAGG
rnacentral:rRNA from 1 species